GGUCUGUAAACGCUGGCUUGUGACAGGGAGGGGGAGGAGGAAGGCCUUCGUAAAGGUUGCAUCUCCGUCCCUUCGCUCCCGGGGACCCGCGGGAAAAAAAAAAAUCCAACACCCAGGCCCCGCGGCUAGCCCCUUCCCACAGGCUCUCUCCGCUCGAUUUUGUCACCGUUAUGUGGGAAGCGAAUCCAGAGAUGUUUCACAAAGCAGAAGAAUUAUUUUCUAAAACAACAAACAAUGAAGUGGAUGACAUGGACACGUCAGAUACCCAGUGGGGCUGGUUUUACUUGGCAGAAUGUGGGAAGUGGCACAUGUUUCAGCCGGAUACCAACAGUCAGUGUUCAGUUAGCAGUGAAGAUAUCGAAAAAAGCUUCAAAACAAACCCUUGUGGCUCCAUUUCUUUUACUACUUCCAAAUUCAGCUACAAGAUAGACUUUGCAGAAAUGAAGCAAAUGAAUCUCACCACUGGAAAGCAGCGCUUAAUAAAAAGAGCCCCCUUUUCUAUCAGUGCUUUCAGUUACAUCUGUGAAAACGAGGCCAUCCCUAUGCCACCACACUGGGAGAAUGUGAAUACUCAAGUACCAUAUCAGCUUAUUCCUCUGCACAAUCAAACACAUGAAUAUAAUGAAGUUGCUAAUCUCUUUGGGAAGACGAUGGAUCGCAACCGAAUUAAAAGAAUUCAGAGAAUUCAAAACCUAGAUUUGUGGGAGUUCUUUUGCAGAUACAGGUGAAGUGUUUACUCCAUCCCUGUCCUACUCUCCUUCUUUCCUCCUGAGAUUGGAAAAAGGCUCAGCUCAAGAAAAAAAGAGGUGUGCCUCAGAUUAAUGAACAAAUGCUGUUUCAUGGUACCAGCAGUGAAUUUGUGGAAGCAAUCUGCAUUCAUAACUUUGAUUGGAGAAUAAAUGGUAUACAUGGUGCUGUCUUUGGAAAAGGAACCUAUUUUGCUAGAGAUGCUGCUUAUUCCAGUCGUUUCUGCAAAGAUGACAUAAAGCAUGGGAACACAUUCCAAAUUCAUGGUGUCAGCUUGCAACAGCGGCAUCUGUUUAGAACAUAUAAAUCUAUGUUUCUUGCUCGAGUGCUAAUUGGAGAUUACAUAAACGGAGACUCCAAAUACAUGCGACCUCCUUCCAAAGACGGGAGCUAUGUGAAUUUAUAUGACAGCUGUGUGGAUGAUACCUGGAACCCAAAGAUCUUUGUGGUUUUUGAUGCCAACCAAAUCUAUCCUGAGUACUUGAUAGACUUUCAUUGAUUUCACUUCCAAAUCUCGGUGGUCAAGGAAGCUUUAUUCUUUUUUGCAGGAAGGUUUGCUCUUCAGUCAUCUAGCCACUAAAUGUUAAUUAUCUGAUACUUUUGAAACAGAUAUGAAAAAAAGUGGCCUCCAUAUAAAAAGACAUACUGACUUCAAGGUUGGUUUUUGUUGUUUUGUUUUUGCCUGUUUCUUGUAGUCUUGUUUGUUAAAAGUUGAUAUCAUUGAUGUUUUAACACAUAGGGGUGAAAGAUACCAUUCAAAAUGGAAUCAGCUGAGUCUCAACUAAUGUGGUCAUUGAGAUCUUUAAAGUUUACGUGUGUGUUAUCAGGAUAAAUGAUUUUAGUUUAAAUAGACUUAUUCGUAUAAAUGUUGAAAAAAAAUACAGACAUAAAUGUGUCCCUUUAGAGGAAUUGAUCCUUUGUAAAUUGAAUUCAGGUAGUAGUAUCAUCCACCAAUCCAUCUGUUGCUUUGUUGGUCUUCUGAAGGGGGGAUUUAAAACUCUGAAACAGUCUGAGCACCUUGAGAGAAAUCAGAAACAAGACAAUUAUUUGCAGUGCUGUCAAACAAGCCAGAAGGAGAAAAUCAAGGUAGAAUGCCCCACUUUCCAGUUGCCUUAGGAUAGCAGGCUGCAGCCUCAGACUUGAUCCUGUCAUUCUCCUCUGUCUCCCACAUCUGAAUUGAUAAUUGCUGCAAAAUGUCAUUAGCCUACACUUCAUCCAUCAGGGCUCUUGGAUUCUUACACCACGACUUGCUGUGCAAGGUGUUUAUUGCAUCUUCAAAGUGAAACUUUAAAUUAUUAUUCAAACAUUUAUUUUCCUUUUGUUUUAAAAAGAGUCCCUACAAUGAUCACUUCUAAGAUUUUUUUUUACCUUCCCCUCUGCAGCACACACAGCUAUUCAACAAUGAUUUCUAAAAUUCAUAUUUCAAAUUUGUAUCUCUCCAUUUUGAAACAUUAUAGAAAGCAUGGGAUGCUUGAGACAAAUCUGGUUUCUCCUUUGAAGUAGCUGUUGACAACCUACUCUCUUGAAAAGUUAGAUAUAAUUCUUAAUCAUGUUUAGUGGAAAUUUGUUUACCUGUUCCAUCUGUUUUGCUGUUUCAUUGUAAGGAAGAUGAGAAGUGUUGGAACAGCUUCCCUCCCCUAAAGGUAUUCUAGCAGAGGCGAGACAGCAACUUGGCGGGCAUGUUGCAUAGGAGUUAAGUACCAGAUGGGGAAUUGCCCAUGUGAUGGUGAAGAGUCUCUCACAUUGAUUUUCUUCCUUUUCUCCUCUUCUCUCCUCCUUCUCUUCUCUCCUCUUUCUCUUCUCUUCUUUCUCUUCUCUUCUGUCUUCCUCUUCCUCUUCUCUUCCUCUCCUCUUCCUCUUUCUCUCUCUUCCUUUUUCUCUUCCUCUUUCUCUUUCUCUUUCUCUUCUCUUCUCUCUCUCUUCCUUCCUUCUUUCUUUCCUUCCUUCCUUCCUUCCUUCCUUCCUUCCUUCCUUCUUUCCCUCCCUCCCUCCCUCCCUCCUCCCUUUUUCUUUUUCUUUCUUUUUUUUUGGUUUGGCAGAGUCUUGCUCUGUUGCCCAGGCUGCAGUGCAGUGGUGUGAUCUCGGCUCACUGCAACCUCCACCUCCCGGGUUCAAGCAAUUCUCUUGCCUCAGCUUCUCCAGUUACUGGGACUACAGGUGCAUACCACCAUGCCCGGCUAAUUUUUGUAUUUUUAGUAGAGGCGGGGUUUUGUCAUGUUGGCCAGGCUGAUCUCAAACUCCUGACCUCAGGUGAUCCGCCUGCCUCAGCCUUCCAAAGUGCUGAGAUUACAGGCAUGAGCCGCUGUACCCGGCCUGAUUUUCUAUGAUUCUGCCUUUAAAAGACAGCACGUAUACCAAGCCUUUUUCAGAAAGCUUUUCUCUUAACUCCUUCUAAUGCUGAAUUUUCUCUCUAUUAUCCUCACCCAAUUUUGGCUGAGAGUUAGUGUACACAAUUUAACUUCUUAGAAAAAUUCCAGUGUCUAUGCUUAUAUUGCUCACUUGAAUCAUUUGAAUUAGAAAGGGAUCUACAAAUAAUAAAAGCAAAGAGUGCAGACAGAUUAGGGAUAGUAAUUCUUAAAGUGCCAUCUAUCCCAGAUUUCCGUUAUAGACCAGCAUAUGUGUAAUUGUGCAGUGGGAGGUAAGUAGUACCCAGGACAUUGCAUGUACAAUACUUUGAAACAAAGUGGCAACAAAGAUUUCCUGGCUCAGGUAUGCACCCCAGCUGCUGGUUUAGAUGAAGUGCUGAGAAUAUUUAGAAAAAGCGCUUUAAAAAGCAUCUAGAGAUUAUCAUGAAAAUAAUUGGAGACAAAGUCACUAGGCUGCUUUGUGAGAGGCAGCAUACCAUGGCUCUAAACCCGUUCACAAAAAACAAUGUUAGAGACAUUAGGAAUUCAGGUUUUGAAAAUCUUUUUUUCGAUUUAUUUGUAAUUUACAUACCAAAAAACCACAUUAAAAUAGUCCUCCCUUCAACAUGGCUAUCUUUUUUCAAGUUUUAUAUGCAUAGCUCUCUCAGCACUUGAAUGGAAAAACUGUUACAGCAUUUGGGAGUUGUUUUUCUUUUAGACUUUGCAGAUCUUAUCUCAAGGUGACUAGGAACCCAGAGCUAAGUAUCUGUGAGGCAAUCUCUGCGAACGCUGAACUUACCUAGUUGGUUUCUAUGAAAUAUGUAGAAUGCACUGCAGUAGCCAUUGUAAGAAGGUACUAUACCGGUUUUUUGGGGCUUGUUGUUGUUGUUUGGUCUGAGAAUGUACUGCCAACCCCUCUUUUAUAAGAGAGAACUGAUUUUGAUACAUAUUUUAAAAUAUGAUAGUACAGAGUUAAUGGAUGUUAAAAUUUUAUUUCUUUGUUUUGGUAAGUAGAUUAAAUCGAGAAUCAUAUAAUCAGUACAUUUGAGAAUUAUAUAACCAGUAUAUAAUAAUACUGGACACAACCAUUUGCCAUCUUUUCCUGUUAUCAUCCCAUAGAGUGGGUGGGGAGAAUGAAUAGACAUAAACCUAGAAUAAUGAUAAAUGGUUUUUAAAACUCUAUAUUGAAUACAUUCCAGCUGAUAAUGACUUUUCUUUUUCACCUUGGUGAUAUCAGCCUCAGGGUAAAAAAAAAAGUUUCAUAAAUCUUUUAGUUAUAAACAGGAAAGUUUUAUAUUAGUGUGUCAUUUCAUUUCUAGACUGUUGAUGGUGAUGAUGAUAAAGAAUUUGGAGCCAAUUUUGAUAUAUGAAUGUAUUGCUUUUACAUGUGAUGAUUAAAGCUCUCCAUUAGCAGUU